UCCAUUUACAGUAACAUCAUAACAGAAAUCGACUCGGAAAUGGUUCAUUCGUGACCUGGUAAGUCAUUAUGAAUAUAUUUUGAUAACAAUAACUUAUUUCAUUGUGACGUAGAUCCGUUUAUUACUGCUGUAUGAAUCUAACAGUCGAACGAGCCAAUCAUCGUUUAACAAGUUCCUCAACACAACGCUAAGCAUAAUCCGACACUACAGUACAUUUCCGAAGGCCAUUUUAUUUCCAAAAGAUAUCUCACUAAUCGACACGAUCAAUACGAACGUUACAAACCAUCGACAACCAUGAACGUUCUACCAAGAGCUCA